CAGGCAGGAGCAAGUGCUACUAAUCAAAAUGUGCUACUAAUUAAAAUGAUAAAACUAGUCGUACAUAGCUUUUUCCAACGGAAAGUGCAAAUUAAACUGUGACGAUUGAGACACUGCACCUUUAGGAGCAAGUUGUUCAGAAAGUGGGUCCCAGAUUCCCUCCAGUGGAGUCUCCUGGAGAGCUUAUUGUACGGGCAGAUUCUGGAGCCCUGCCCCAGACUCUGAGAAACAGUCCGUGACUGUGGUACCCUGGAAUCCGCAUUCUAAACAAAUUCCAUAGUCUUUCCCUCCACAGACUGAUUUUGAAAAGCACUGCACCAAUUAGCCCUGAGUUUAAAAUUUAUAAACAUAAAAACUGUAAAAAACAAUGCAUGGCCUAACCUCUGACUUACUAGCCAUGAAAAAAAAAGUUUAUUCUAGAUUAUUGUUUGGAUGUCUUUAUGUCAUUCAUUUUUUCAUUUACAAGACAAAUAAGACAUGCCCCUGCACUAGGGGAAUUCACAGGAGAAAGAGUAGGAUUUUGACUUCAUAGGAGGAACAGGUCCACUCCAAGAGGAGAGAAAACUAAUCCUGGUUGCUUUUUUGGUCAGAGAAAGCCUUGUAGGGCGGUGGCCUUAAGGCUGUGUGGAAUUCACCUGGGGCAAAAGAGAGGCAGGGAUUUGAGGAAGAGUGGGCGCUGAGCUGUGGCUCUGAGUGAUGGGAGUGGGCGCUGCGCUGCGACGCUGAGUGAUGGGAGUGGACGCUGAGCUGCGGCACUGAGUGACGGGAGUGGACGCUGCACUGCGGUGCUGAGUGACAGGAGUGGACGCUGAGCUGCGGCACUGAGUGACGGGAGUGGACGCUGAGUGACGGGAGUGGACGCUGAGCUGCGGCGCUGAGUGACGGGAGUGGACGCUUGGACGCUGAGUGACGGGAGUGGACGCUGCGCUGCGGCACUGAGUGACAGGAGUGGACACUGAGUGACGGGAGUGGACGCUGCGCUGUAGCGCUGAGUGAUGGGAGUGGACGCUGCGCUGCGGCACUGAGUGACGGGAGUGGACGCUGAGUGACGGGAGUGGACGCUGCGCUUGGACGCUGAGUGACGGGAGUGGACGCUGCGCUGCGGCGCUGAGUGACGGGAGUGGGUGUAGGGGUUCAGUGAAUGGCAGAUUGCCAUUGUUACUGACGUGUGCAGGAGCAUGUAGAGGGGCCAGUAGAAUGUGGAAGCUAGAGGAGAAGUAGAGCCUAGACUUGGGAGCACCUUGUAAGCUGUACUAGGACUCUGGGACUGUCUGUGUAGACCAGGAAACAAACGACAGGAAGGGAAUGCAUGAGUGUGCACUGCCUUUGAGCCCGCAGAGCCAGCCAGCGUGGGCCUCCUAAGGAGGGGAGUGCCCUCUAGGGGCUUAGAUGAUUUUUCUGAGUGCUGUUCGUCUUUGUACUCCGCCACCCACAUGCCCACUAAGCUGAAUCCAUUACCUACUGGAGAGAGAAAAAAAGACAGCUUCACCAACCCACCUGGCUGCAGCUGUGAUUACAGUAUGCAGACAUUUAUUGGUUUGGUACCUUGACUGAUGAUUAUCUUAAUACUGAGGAUAACAUUAAAGGCUUGAUUUUUCAGGCAAAUGGCAAAUGCAAGUUGCUUCUUGUUGGAGGUUGAAAAGCCCUUAGCCCAUGAUUCUGUUUAUGUGAACUGACCAAAAUAGGUAGGUCCAUAGAGAAAGAAUAGAGAUUCGUGGUUGCCAGGGGCUGGGAGAGGAUAAAUGGGAAGUACAGGGUUUCUUUAUGAGAUGAUGAAAAUGUUCUAAAAUUAGGUAGCAGUGAUGGUAGCACAACCCUGUGAAUAUAAAGACCAUUGAAUUGUAUACUUUAAAAGGGUGAAUUUUACAGUAUGUGAAUCGUAUCUCAGUAAAAUUGUUAUUUUAUUUGUUUUCUUUAAAAACCCUUAGCACUUCUGCUUCAGAUAUCCUAAGAGAAGUAUGGUAUUUGGGGUUUCAGAGAGGAGCUAUUAUCUGAGGUUGGCCUGGAAGGGCAGAUGGUAUCUAGACAGACAGCUGGAGAUGAGGGCUAGAUAAGGAAUGUUCAGGAGAGAGUAGGGUGAGCAGUGGAAAGACAGCAAAGGGAGGGCUUGUUUGGAGAAUAGAAGGUGACUAGCAUCAGGAGUAUGAAGAGAAAUACUGCGAGAUUGAAUUCGAAUAAAGAUCUGUGGACUUGAGAGUGUUGAAUGCUAGGCUGAGAAGUUGAUCAGUUAAAUGAAGAGUAACUGAAGGUUUUUGACUACAGAAGUACAAGAACUGAGCCAUAGGAUGGGCGUGGCAUGAACUGGGAGAAGGGGAGACUUUGGUGAGAGGAGACCAGGUCGGAACCUAGAAGUUGGAGGAGGGAAGGUUUUAGAAGUGAGGGGUAAGUGUGGACAUCGAUUUACUCAUAAGUUAGUCUGUUUCCUUAGCUACCAAUCCACAUGUUUUCUCCAUUCCAUUGCUUGCUGUUUAUCCAGGCAUUGGGGUAAAGGGUAAGAGGGAGAUUGGGAGGAGGGACCAAAAAAAUAAUAAGAAUGAAGAGAAAAGGUGAUGAGGGCAAGAUUCUGUCUGAGUGCUUCAGUUGUUCUGUAAUUCAGUGACUCACUACAAGAAGACUCUAGGGGAGUGCCCUCUAGGCUCUUCUAGUGGAAAACACAGGAUAGGAAACCUUGUUUGAUUUUAUUAUGUAUAGACAUAAUAAAUUUCCUUGGCAAAUAAGGGUCCUGAUGAGGCCCCCGUUUGUUACCUGAGAGUGUGUGUAGACUAUCUGUCGAAAAAUAACUCACAUGAGUUGUAUUAUGUUGAACUCUGUGAAAUUGCUAUUUGACUAUUUUUGAUCUACAAAGAAAGCAGUUUCGUGAAGUCUCAACCUAAUAGAUACUUGCUCGAUAGAUAUCUGAUGACAGCCCAGAUUUUAACCUUUUCUGAUUCCUUCAUAAGUUCCUUCUUUA